rnacentral:tRNA from 1 species
UCAGCUCUAGCUGACUAUGGUAAAGAAUCUGCUUGCAAUGCAGGAGACCAGGGUUCAAUCCCUGGGUUGGG